rnacentral:lncRNA from 1 species
GCAAGUGUCUAUGCAGCCUGCAACUCCUAUUGAAAACAAACCCUGCAUAUCACACAACCAUUAAGAGUUGAAGAAAGAAUGGCACAGGCCACGUUUGUACUCGUUGUGUAUGCAAAGGAUCACAGAAUGAAAAUAUCAGCAAUAAUCUGGAGACUUUGAGCAACAAAAUUGUUGCUCUCAAAACAAAAGUCAGAAAGAGGCCUUCCACAAAUUUAAUUUGCUUCCAGUGUCAUGGGCAGGCAUACAGAUAAGGUUUAUUUUACUCUCUAUAACCAAAUUAAGACCAAUUCCUUACCUACCUCUUCUCCACUCCCAAGAACAAAGUUUUCUCUGAAUGUUGCUAGACUACAAGGCUUAUACCUUGAAUCUGUUUAUAACCUCCCCUGUGACCUGAAGAGUACCAGGGACACAGAGCAGGACUGAUCUGAUGUGCAUACCUGUUUCAGAUUGAGCUACUGGAGCAGAUUCUAGUGUGUAGCAAGAAGCGAAAGAAGGCAAUCACAAAUGACUCCUGAUUCUGGAAGCGCCUUUUCCUAGCUAUGAAAAUGUGCUACUCAGAAUGCUCACAGCAGGGAACAUAAGUGACUGACAGCCCCAGCUGCUGUCCCACUGGAUCCACCGCUAAGUUUGCUCCAAAACCCAGCGGAUGACCGAACAUGACAGUGGUACUAGAGCAGGAUCCUUCCAGCAGAGUGUGGGAUUCUUUUGAAGGGCACCUUCUACCUGAGAACUCCCCAAGGUUUUAGCCAAAACUUUUAUGGAACUGCAGAUUACAUGAAGCUUGGAUAAAGGAUACAAUGGCUAACACAAACAGAUUGCAAAAUGUGGGAUUAUAUAACAUGAGACAUUAUAUAUGUCUCGACUAAGAAGAUAAAACUGAAACAACCACACAUUUUGCUAAUUUGAUCCAGAGUCCAAUGACAAAAUCACAAGUUUAUCGUGCAGUGCUUCUGGUGAAGAGAAACCUGAAAACUGCUUCAAAUUAUUUAAGAAUGAAUGCUUUUCUUCAUGAUAAACUUGGUAGACAAUGGGAACGAUAAAAUUCUUCAUAACAGGAGAGUG